rnacentral:rRNA from 1 species
GCUCAACCGGGGAGGGUCAUUGGAAACUGGGGAACUUGAGUGCAGAAGAGGAGAGUGGAAUUCCACGUGUAGCGGUGAUAUGCGUAGAGAUGUGGAGGAACACCAGUGGCGAAGGCGACUCUCUGGUCUGUAACUGACGCUGAGGCGCGAAAGCGUGGGGAGCGAACAGGAUUAGAUACCCUGGUAGUCCACGCCGUAAACGAUGAGUGCUAAGUGUUAGAGGGUUUCCGCCCUUUAGUGCUGCAGCAAACGCAUUAAGCACUCCGCCUGGGGAGUACAGUCGCAAGACUGAAACUCAAAGGAAUUGACGGGGGCCCGCACAAGCGGUGGAGCAUGUGGUUUAAUUCGAAGCAACGCGAAGAACCUUACCAGGUCUUGACAUCCUCUGACAACCCUAGAGAUAGGGCUUCCCCUUCGGGGGCAGAGUGACAGGUGGUGCAUGGUUGUCGUCAGCUCGUGUCGUGAGAUGUUGGGUUAAGUCCCGCAACGAGCGCAACCCUUGAUCUUAGUUGCCAGCAUUCAGUUGGGCACUCUAAGGUGACUGCCGGUGACAAACCGGAGGAAGGUGGGGAUGACGUCAAAUCAUCAUGCCCCUUAUGACCUGGGCUACACACGUGCUACAAUGGGCAGAACAAAG